CUUGUCCAGUGGCAGCCAACCUUUCACAAGAACGUGUCUCCUUCCUGAGCAGCCACUGGCCCUUCCCUGCCCAGCGAUGGAGGCCUCAGACAGCCCCCCAACCUCCCCCUUGAACCAACCGGGGCACUCUCCCUGGCAACUCCCAGGAAUCCACGUCACUAUCGCUGAAACAUAACGUGAGUGGCCUAAGCAGGAAAGAGCAUAUGACACUGGCACAGCUUACCAAAAAUUCUACCUCUGUGCUGGAGAUUCUCGCAUGGAGCCAAGUGCAAUGAGGAAAAUGAAACACAACGGAAUGUGUCUUCAGGUAUGACUGGAUCCAGCGGCCAGACUAUGUCACCAAGUGUCCUCUCCCACUGCAUCUCCGGGUUUUGCCAUCCUUUGUGCUGGCUGCAGUCU
rnacentral:lncRNA from 1 species